AAAAAUGAAAUCAAUUAUUGAUAUUUCACUUACAAUGAAAAUUUGUUAGCCAACCAUUUUUU
rnacentral:tRNA from 1 species